UCCGAGUUGUCUGGAAAGCAUUCAACGAAUUGUAAUCGCGUGGUCGCGGGUUCAAAUCCCGCCGGAGG
rnacentral:tRNA from 1 species